UGGGGGGAGCAGCCCACAGAGGGAAAGGAAGAAGCAGGCUCUCUGCUGCGCCACCGGCCCAAUGCGGCUCCACGCAGAGCUGGGGCUGGAUCCCAGGACCCUGGCAGAUGCUCAACCCACGGAGCCACCCAGGCGCCCCUUUCUCUCCUUCUCUUAAAGAGAUCAUGUGAAUGUCAGAACAGUAACUGCAGACAGACAGUGUCUACCACAUUUAAAACACUGCCUAUGAUGCAGACAUCAGGAGCUGUCCGCUGAGGGGAGCGCACGAGGAGUUAAUGAAAGAUGGGAAACGGAAUGAACGGGAUCCGAGGAGAAUGUUCAAGUGACUAGUUUCAAGCUAUCGACGUGAAGGCAUUGAAGGCACAGCCAGGAAGAGGUGUGCACGGCCGGGCCCUGCAAGGUGGAAGGAGAACGAGUUUCCAAAGCCAGAGGCUCCCGGCUCCGGGUGAUCCCCAGCAGUGGGAACGCAGGUGGACUUGCCCAGAGUGCAAAAUACGGGACCUGUGGCUGCAGGUGCCACAAUGGCCAGAAAGAACCGGUUCUGCCUAUGGUGCGUGCAUGCUUAAGGUAAGCGCUUCU